rnacentral:tRNA from 1 species
GCGCCCGUGGCUCAACUGGAUAGAGUAUCGGACUUCGGAUCCGACGGUUAUAGGUUCGAAUCCUAUCGGGCGUGCCA